UACGGAGGGGGCUAGCGUUGUUCGGAAUUACUGGGCGUAAAGCGCACGUAGGCGGCUUUGUAAGUUAGAGGUGAAAGCCCGGGGCUCAACUUCGGAAUUGCCUUUAAGACUGCAUCGCUAGAAUUGUGGAGAGGUAAGUGGAAUUCCGAGUGUAGAGGUGAAAUUCGUAGAUAUUCGGAAGAACACCGGUGGCGAAGGCGACUUACUGGACACAUAUUGACGCUGAGGUGCGAAAGCGUGGGGAGCAAACAGG
rnacentral:rRNA from 1 species